GACGAAGGGGGCUAGCGUUGCUCGGAAUCACUGGGCGUAAAGGGUGCGUAGGCGGGUCUUUAAGUCAGGGGUGAAAUCCUGGAGCUCAACUCCAGAACUGCCUUUGAUACUGAGGAUCUUGAGUUCGGGAGAGGUGAGUGGAACUGCGAGUGUAGAGGUGAAAUUCGUAGAUAUUCGCAAGAACACCAGUGGCGAAGGCGGCUCACUGGCCCGGUACUGACGCUGAGGUGCGAAAGCGUGGGGAGCAAACAGG
rnacentral:rRNA from 1 species